rnacentral:rRNA from 1 species
CCUACGGGGUGCUGCAGUGGGGAAUAUUGGACAAUGGGCGAAAGCCUGAUCCAGCCAUGCCGCGUGUGUGAAGAAGGCCUUCGGGUUGUAAAGCACUUUCAGUGGGGAAGAAAGCCUUGGGGCUAAUACCCUCGAGGAAGGACAUCACCCACAGAAGAAGCACCGGCUAACUCCGUGCCAGCAGCCGCGGUAAUACGGAGGGUGCGAGCGUUAAUCGGAAUUACUGGGCGUAAAGCGCGCGUAGGCGGUCUGAUAAGCCGGUUGUGAAAGCCCCGGGCUCAACCUGGGAACGGCAUCCGGAACUGUCAGGCUAGAGUGCAGGAGAGGAAGGUAGAAUUCCCGGUGUAGCGGUGAAAUGCGUAGAGAUCGGGAGGAAUACCAGUGGCGAAGGCGGCCUUCUGGACUGACACUGACGCUGAGGUGCGAAAGCGUGGGUAGCAAACAGGAUUAGAUACCCGAGUAGU